rnacentral:rRNA from 1 species
AACGGACGCUGGCGGCAUGCCUAACACAUGCAAGUCGAACGAGACCUUCGGGUCUAGUGGCGCACGGGUGCGUAACGCGUGGGAAUCUGCCCUUUGCUUCGGAAUAACACAGAGAAAUUUGUGCUAAUACCGGAUAAUGUCGCAAGACCAAAGAUUUAUCGGCAAAGGAUGAGCCCGCGUAAGAUUAGGUAGUUGGUGGGGUAAUGGCCUACCAAGCCGACGAUCUUUAGCUGGUCUGAGAGGAUGAUCAGCCACACUGGGACUGAGACACGGCCCAGACUCCUACGGGAGGCAGCAGUGGGGAAUAUUGGACAAUGGGCGAAAGCCUGAUCCAGCAAUGCCGCGUGAGUGAUGAAGGCCUUAGGGUUGUAAAGCUCUUUUACCCGGGAUGAUAAUGACAGUACCGGGAGAAUAAACUCCGGCUAACUCCGUG